AGUGAACGCUGGCGGUAGGCCUAACACAUGCAAGUCGAACGGCAGCACAGUAAGAGCUUGCUCUUACGGGUGGCGAGUGGCGGACGGGUGAGGAAUACAUCGGAAUCUACUUUUUCGUGGGGGAUAACGUAGGGAAACUUACGCUAAUACCGCAUACGACCUACGGGUGAAAGCAGGGGAUCUUCGGACCUUGCGCGAUUGAAUGAGCCGAUGUCGGAUUAGCUAGUUGGCGGGGUAAAGGCCCACCAAGGCGACGAUCCGUAGCUGGGCUGAGAGGAUGAUCCGCCACACUGGAAGUGAGAGGCGGCCCAGGCUCCGACGGGAGGCAGCGGUGGGGAAUAUUGGACAAUGGGCGCAAGCCUGAUCCAGCCGUACCGCGUGGGUGAAGAAGGCCUUCGGGUUGUAAAGCCCUUUUGUUGUGAUAGAAAAGCAGCGGGUGAAACCCCCCCUGUUCUGACGGUACCCAAAUAAUAAGCACCGGCUAACUUCGUG
rnacentral:rRNA from 1 species